rnacentral:rRNA from 1 species
UUCGCAAUGCCCGAAAGGGUGACGAAGCUACGCCGCGUGUGGGAAGAAGGCCUUCGGGUUGUAAACCACUGUCGGGAGUUAAGAAAUGCAAGGAUAUGAAUAGUGUCUUUGCUUGACUAAGGCUCCGGAGGAAGCCACGGCUAACUCUGUGCCAGCAGCCGCGGUAAUACAGAGGCGGCAAGCGUUGUUCGGAAUUAUUGGGCGUAAAGAGCACGUAGGCGGCUAUGUAAGUCGGUUGUGAAAGCCUUCCGCUCAACGGGAGAACAGCAUCCGAUACUACAUGGCUUGAGUGCGGGAGGGGAGAGUGGAACUUCUGGUGGAGCGGUGAAAUGCGUAGAUAUCAGAAGGAACGCCGGCGGCGAAAGCGGCUCUCUGGCCCAUAACUGACGCUGAGUGUGCGAAAGCUAGGGGAGCAAACGGGAUUAGAUACCCCGGUAGUCCUAGCCGUAAACGAUGGGCACUAAGUAGAGGGGUUUU